rnacentral:rRNA from 1 species
UACGUAGGGUGCAAGCGUUAUCCGGAAUUAUUGGGCGUAAAGAGCUCGUAGGCGGUUUGUCACGUCUGCUGUGAAAACUGGAGGCUCAACCUCCAGCCUGCAGUGGGUACGGGCAGACUAGAGUGCGGUAGGGGAGAUUGGAAUUCCUGGUGUAGCGGUGGAAUGCGCAGAUAUCGGGAGGAACACCAGUGGCGAAGGCGGUUGCCUGGAGCUUUGCUGACGCUGAUGCGCGAAAGCGUGGGGAGCGAUCCGG